rnacentral:rRNA from 1 species
UACGGAGGUGGCAAGCGUUGCUCGGAAUCACUGGGCGUAAAGGGUGCGUAGGCGGCGCGGUAAGUCGGGUGUGAAAUUUCGGAGCUUAACUCCGAAACUGCAUUCGAUACUGCCGUGCUUGAGGACUGGAGAGGAGACUGGAAUUUACGGUGUAGCAGUGAAAUGCGUAGAGAUCGUAAGGAAGACCAGUGGCGAAGGCGGGUCUCUGGACAGUUCCUGACACUGAGGCACGAAGGCCAGGGGAGCAAACGGG